GGGACGGGCCGAAGAGGUCUCCGGUGCUCGGGGCUUGGGACGUCAUGGUCGGGGCAGGGGGCUUUGCGGUGCAGCUCUAAGGAGGAUGAGCCGAGCGGAUGGCUCCCCUACGGACGUUGACCGCCACCCCGAGAGCGGGCCGUCCGGGGACGGGGCCAGGCCUGCAGGGAAAGAGAGGCUGGGCCCUGAGGACGGAGGUUGGCGGUCACGGCUGCCUGGCGGAGCAGCGAGAGGAGGACAGAAGAGGUUGGGGACCCCUGCGCGGGCAGUGGGAGGAGAGUGCAGACGCCUCUGGGGAGCCUCAUGGCUGGGAAGGGAGAAGGCUCUGGAAGGAGGGCAAGGCAGAGAAGCCCGAGUGGGGAAGUGGGGGGCGGCCAGGGCCUAGGUCAGGCCAGCCCCCUGCCUCCAGGCUCCUGGGGCCGGAGGAGAGCUGGCCUGGGCGGGGCUGUCCACCUGCCCCACGCGCUGUCUCGGGUUGUUCCUCGUCCACCUCAGGAGCCAGCUGCUGUUCCCCUCCCCCAAGAAGCCCGCCCUGCUGACUGCCCCCCACACAUACCCCAUCCCAGGCAGCGAGACUCCUUCCUUGCUUGUGGACCCCCUCUAGAUGCGGCCACUGCCUCCCCAGGGGCAGUACAAAGGGGAGGAGGGGCAGCUGGGCCCUGCGCAUGCUGUCUGAACCCUGGCCCCGGGAGGACAGCCGAGGGGGUGCCGGCCCUGUGGCCUUAAAAUUGACUCCCACGUCCUGGUUAUCUAUUGCUGUGUGACAAAGCACCCCAAAAUGUCAUGGUGUAAAGCACCCGUUUACUACUCUUUCCUCGGUCCAUGGCUGGCCCUGGCUCCGCUGGGCCCCUCAGCCUUGGGGUUUCUCUGCAGUCGUGAUCAGGUGGCAGCUGGGGCUGGAAACUUCAGCAGGCUCAGUGGGGCUUCAGGUCCAGGACGGCUUCUUCGGCCCAUGUCUGGCACUCUAGGUGGGUGGCGGGAACAGCCCGGGCUGGCUGGCUGUCUCACUGCGUGUGGCCUUUCCGUGUGGCCAGCUUGGGCUUCCUCAGAGCAUGGUGGUCUCAGAGUCAUGGGAUUAUUCCAUGGCAGCCAGCUCCCCCAGUGCACAGUCACUAGGCAAGGCUUCUCGUGACCCAGCCUCAGAUGUCAAGUCGUGUCACUUGGGAAGUCUGGAAGGAGGAGGCCUGGAAGCAUCCAUCAAGCACUUCCACCAUGCACAGCAGGUCUGCCCCCCACUCGUCCUCAUGGUCACAACGUGGCUGCUGUGACCUAGACUCGGACUCGGACUCAGGCUGGAACUGCGCCGCCGGCUCCGGGGGCUCCAGCUGGCCGACUGCAGACGGACGUGGGCCUCAGCCUCCGUCACCGUGGGAGCCCGUUCCUUGUAAUAAAUUUAUAUAGAGAGAGA